GACGAACGCUGGUGGCGUGCUUAACACAUGCAAGUCGAGCGAAUGGAUUAAGAGCUCGCUCUUAUGAAGUUAGCGGCGGACGGGUGAGUAACACGUGGGUAACCUGCCCAUAAGACUGGGAUAACUCCGGGAAACCGGGGCUAAUACCGGAUAACAUUUUGAACCGCAUGGUUCGAAAUUGAAAGGCGGCUUCGGCUGUCACUUAUGGAUGGACCCGCGUCGCAUUAGCUAGUUGGUGAGGUAAUGGCUCACCAAGGCAACGAUGCGUAGCCCACCUGAGAGGGUGAUCGGCCACACUGGGACGGAGACACGGCCCAGACUCCUACGGGAGGCAGCAGUAGGGAAUCUUCCGCAAUGGACGAAAGUCUGACGGAGCAACGCCGCGUGAGUGAUGAAGGCUUUCGGGUCGUAAAACUCUGUUGUUAGGGAAGAACAAGUGCUAGUUGAAUAAGCUGGCACCUUGACGGUACCUAACCAGAAAGCCACGGCUAACUACGUGCCAGCCGCCGCAGUAA
rnacentral:rRNA from 1 species